rnacentral:misc_RNA from 1 species
UCCGGUUUGUCACCGGCAGUCUCAUUAAAGUGCCCAACUCAAUGAUGGCAAUUAAUGACAAGGGUUGCGCUCGUUGCGGGACUUAACCCAACAUCUCACGACACGAGCUGACGACAGCCAUGCAGCACCUGUGUUCAGGCUCCCUUUCGGGCACUCCCAACUUUCAUCGGGAUUCCUGACAUGUCAAGGGUAGGUAAGGUUUUUCGCGUUGCAUCGAAUUAAUCCACAUCAUCCACCGCUUGUGCGGGUCCCCGUCAAUUCCUUUGAGUUUUAACCUUGCGGCCGUACUCCCCAGGCGGUCAACUUCACGCGUUAGCUACGGUACUAAAUGGUUUUACCCACCCAACACCUAGUUGACAUCGUUUAGGGCGUGGACUAC